UCUGUGGUGAUGAGAGGCGCAGGGGUACGGACCUCAGCCAAUGAUGGGGGCUGAGUGCUGCUGCAGACGUUCUGAUUGGAGGACGAGUGGUUCACCGACAGAGCGGCAGCAGCACGAAACAGACGCCCGUCUGAACAGA
ensembl:snoRNA